AAUGAACGUUGGCGGCGUGGAUUAGGCAUGCAGGUCGAGCGUGAUAGGUUUGGUGCUUGCAUUAAACCUUGAAAGCGGCGAAAGGGACAGUAACGCGUAGAUACCUACCUCCAGGUCCGGGAUAGCGGCGGGAAACUGCCGGUAAUACCGGAUAAUGUCUUCGGACCAAAGGUGUGAUUCCGCCUGGAGACGGAUCUGGGUCCAAUUAGCUAGUUGGUGGGGUAAUGGCCCACCAAGGCGAUGAUGGGUAGCGGGCGUGAGAGCGUGGCCCGCGUCACUGGGACUGAGACACUGACCAGACACCUACGGGUGGCUGCAGUCGAGAAUCUUCGGCAAUGGGCGCAAGCCUGACCGAGCGACGCCGCGUGCGGGAUGAAGGCCUUCAGGUUGUAAACCGCUGUCGGAGAGGCGGAAAUCUCUAGGGGUUCUCCCCUGGAGUUGACCUAAUCUCGGAGGAAGUCCGGGCUAAGUUCGUGCCAGCCGCCGCGGUAAGAC
rnacentral:rRNA from 1 species